GCCUCCCAACUCUUUCCUCCGCCCUCCUCUUGACCACCCGCACUCUCUCACCAUUCUAGUACAAGCUCCCGCUGCCGCAGCCGACACCCGCGCUCUCCCGCACCACUACCUGGUCACCCCGCUUCAGCCGCCUGCGUACUCCCGAUCACAUCGGAGGUAACGGCACACAUCUUCCCCGAUCUGCGUUCCGCAACGACCAACCUGAGGAGGAGGAUCGCGGGGUAGCCAAACAGCCCACUGACAGAUCCAGAUCUAUUUGUGCGUCCGAUGACGCUGUAGAUCUGUGAAGCAGCCCUCCUAAAACACCUCUUGUGCUUCACUAUUGCUGCUUUCUAGUAGAUCGUCUGCUUUUCUAAUAAUCGUUUAGUUUUUAUUUUUUCCGACACUUCUAUUUCAGGUCUACAUAAUUUUUUUGGGAAGCAAGAAGCCUGAGAAGUGGGGGAGACGAGGGCUGGAGUAGGCAUGCAGGAUACUCUCCAUGCCAGAAUCUGCAAGAGUGUUGUUGCAGUAUCUAUUAAAAAAAAUAAAAAACAAAGAUGUAACUGAAGUCACUAUUGUAUUACCAAACACAAAGAAAGUGGUCCUUCAGCUAGGACGUGUGAAGCUUUUUCAGAAUGUUGCUUGCAUCCGAUGCUUUGAUCCCACACCAGGACAAGACUCUUGGCUGGAGGAAUUGGUUGGCAUGGAUCUCUGUGAACAAAUUCAAGAAAAUGAUAAAGUUUUUACAUUCAGCGACAACAACAACAAGAAGUUGUUGACUCCUGGCAGAAUUAUCUUAAUUGAAGAUAAAACAUUUGAUCAUAAUUGUGCAUCAGACCUAUAUUCAUGUUGUGGAGCACCAGUAAUUAAUGAAGCCGGACAGUUUGUUGGCAUGUGUACAAAAUUAACCGAUGGAUAUCUUACUGCGGUUAAGGCGAAGGAAGUAGCACAAAUGAUUGACAAUGCUGAAAAAAGAACUCACACGACCAUUGCAGAUACCUUACAAAAUUUGCGCCAGUGAAAGGGUUCAGGUUCUCAGGAGGGCCUGGACGCAGAUGUUUUCCCAUCAACUCUUGGCCGUUGUGUUGAAGAAUGGGGCAAUGUCUUGAGAAGUUUUUCGGUGCAGAAGGUGUUGGCCUCCAUACCGCACCUAAAUUUGCAACAUUAGGCUGUCCUUCUGAUGGUAUGGUCGCUCCAGGAUCUUGUUUGGCACCACUGCAUUUCAGGUUGCUGUUACUUUUUUGCUUCUUGCUUUUCACUAGAUUGCUAAGCUGGAUUUCGUUAGAAUAGAGCUCUGUGGCUAUUUGUAAUGCAUGUGUCCGAACUACUGGUGAGGCAUGGCCGAUGUGAUGCAGAAUAAGGAAAUUUCUACUGUAGAAUUGAGUAGUGUGUUUAUUUGUAAUGCAUGUUUCCAAAUUACUAAUUUUGUGUAUGUUCGUUCUUCGUUGCAUUCCAGACUUCAGACGUAAUCUGUACAUAAGUGGUGAAAGACAGAAUAAAUUGAAACAAGAUCUUGUAAUCA